GUAUCUUUCCUUCCAUCUUCCUACUGCGCGUACUCCGCUCUCUCUCUCUCUCUCUCUCCCACCUUCAACCCUCAACCACCCCCGCCCCCCCCCCCCCCCCCCCCCCCGGUGGGCUGUGUUCAUCCCACGGCCGAUAGCCUCCAUUCAUAUCCGCUGGCGGACCAAGCCAAGGCACCGCUUCAUCGCCUGCGAGGUGGACUGAGAUCUUGCGCGUUUCGGAAUACCUUUUGAUCGUGGAGGGAAGAACAAACUAAAGCUCAGACAUGAGAAAUAAGAAAAAGGAUUGGUGUAAGAAUGGCAGAAAAGGCAUAUCAGAUAUGGUGUUGUGCUUUAUUCGGUAUGGGCGGCAUAGGAAAUUAUUGAAUUAUUAAAUUUAAUUGAACUGCAGAGUAGAAGUUGGCAACCACCUCUAUCAAACCUAACUCACCUUUAUUGAUGUGUUGGGUUAGAGUAGGCAGCCACCUCCACCAACUUUAGCUACUUUCGUUGAAAUUGAUUUUUUUUAUAUCAUUCUAUCAGUUGUUAUGUAUAAGAUAUGUGGUAGAAAAGAGGAAGAGUAACCAUGUUGAUAUAAUUAUUAUUGAAAUUAUAGUGUUUUGUGUGCAAGUAUC